AGCAGCGUGGCUCAGUGGAAAGAGCAUGGGCUUGGAAGUCAGAGGCCAUGGGUUCUAAUCCCAGCUCUGCCG
rnacentral:tRNA from 1 species